AUCCUUUUGUAGUUUGUAAGCAUGAUGAUUGGGUGUUCCUGCUCCUCUUUGAGAUGUGCCUCUGUCAUACCUCGUUACAACAUUGGCACAUGGCUUGUCUGAUG